rnacentral:rRNA from 1 species
GUCAGAGGUUCGAAGGCGAUCAGAUACCGCCCUAGUUCUGACCGUAAACGAUGCCACCUGACGAUCCGCCAGGGUUACUACCAUGACUCGGCGGGCAGUCCCCGGGAAACCCAAGCCUUCGGGUUCCGGGGGAAGUAUGGUUGCAAAGCUGAAACUUAAAGGAAUUGACGGAAGGGCACCACCAGGAGUGGAGCCUGCGGCUUAAUUUGACUCAACACGGGGAACCUCACCCGGCCCGGACACCGCGAGGAUUGACAGAUUGAGAGCUCUUUCUCGAUUCGGUGGGUGGUGGUGCAUGGCCGUUCUUAGUUGGUGGAGCGAUUUGUCUGGUUAAUUCCGAUAACGAACGAGACUCUAGCCGGUUAAGUAGCCCGAGCGGUUUUUGAUCUUUGCCGUUCAUCCCCGUUCGACCUUUGCGUCGUCCCCCUUUUUGCGGGCCGUCUCCGUCGUUUUACCGUUUCUCUGGUUUCCCGAUUGUCCGUCGUCCCGGCGAUCCGUUCGACGGGUGCCGACGGUUUUCGCGGUUUCCAGGGGGCGGUGGCGGCGGAACGGUUUCGUUCAGGGGGGUAUACGCUCGGUCGUUUCGGGGUGAAAGCAUAACCGAAGGCCGCCGGCUUUUAAGGAAGCUUCUUAGAGGGACGAGCGGCGUUCAGCCGCCCGA